rnacentral:rRNA from 1 species
GGUUAAGCGACUAAGCGUACACGGUGGAUGCCCUGGCAGUCAGAGGCGAUGAAGGACGUGCUAAUCUGCGAAAAGCGUCGGUAAGGUGAUAUGAACCGUUAUAACCGGCGAUGUCCGAAUGGGGAAACCCAGUGCAAUUCGUUGCACUAUCGUUAACUGAAUACAUAGGUUAACGAGGCGAACCGGGGGAACUGAAACAUCUAAGUACCCCGAGGAAAAGAAAUCAACCGAGAUUCCCCCAGUAGCGGCGAGCGAACGGGGAGCAGCCCAGAGUCUGAAUCAGCUUGUGUGUUAGUGGAACGGUCUGGAAAGUCCGACGGUACAGGGUGAUAGUCCCGUACACCAAAAUGCACAGGCUGUGAACUCGAAGAGUAGGGCGGGACACGUGGUAUCCUGUCUGAAUAUGGGGGGACCAUCCUCCAAGGCUAAAUACUCCUGACUGACCGAUAGUGAACCAGUACCGUGAGGGAAAGGCGAAAAGAACCCCGGCGAGGGGAGUGAAAAAGAACCUGAAACCGUGUACGUACAAGCAGUGGGAGCACCUUCGGGUGUGACUGCGUACCUUUUGUAUAAUGGGUCAGCGACUUAUAUUCUGUAGCAAGGUUAACCGUAUAGGGGAGCCGCAGGGAAACCGAGUCUUAACUGGGCGUUAAGUUGCAGGGUAUAGACCCGAAACCCGGUGAUCUAGCCAUGGGCAGGUUGAAGGUUGGGUAACACUAACUGGAGGACCGAACCGACUAAUGUUGAAAAAUUAGCGGAUGACUUGUGGCUGGGGGUGAAAGGCCAAUCAAACCGGGAGAUAGCUGGUUCUCCCCGAAAGCUAUUUAGGUAGCGCCUCGUGAAUUCAUCUUCGGGGGUAGAGCACUGUUUCGGCUAGGGGGUCAUCCCGACUUACCAACCCGAUGCAAACUACGAAUACCGAAGAAUGUUAUCACGGGAGACACACGGCGGGUGCUAACGUCCGUCGUGAAGAGGGAAACAACCCAGACCGCCAGCUAAGGUCCCAAAGUCAUGGUUAAGUGGGAAACGAUGUGGGAAGGCACAGACAGCCAGGAUGUUGGCUUAGAAGCAGCCAUCAUUUAAAGAAAGCGUAAUAGCUCACUGGUCGAGUCGGCCUGCGCGGAAGAUGUAACGGGGCUAAACCAUGCACCGAAGCUGCGGCAGCGACACUAUGUGUUGUUGGGUAGGGGAGCGUUCUGUAAGCCUGCGAAGGUGACCUGUGAGGGUUGCUGGAGGUAUCAGAAGUGCGAAUGCUGACAUAAGUAACGAUAAAGCGGGUGAAAAGCCCGCUCGCCGGAAGACCAAGGGUUCCUGUCCAACGUUAAUCGGGGCAGGGUGAGUCGACCCCUAAGGCGAGGCCGAAAGGCGUAGUCGAUGGGAAACAGGUUAAUAUUCCUGUACUUGGUGUUACUGCGAAGGGGGGACGGAGAAGGCUAUGUUAGCCGGGCGACGGUUGUCCCGGUUUAAGCAUGUAGGCUGGUUGUCCAGGCAAAUCCGGAUAAUCAAGGCUGAGGUGUGAUGACGAGGCACUACGGUGCUGAAGUAACAAAUGCCCUGCUUCCAGGAAAAGCCUCUAAGCAUCAGGUAACAUUAAAUCGUACCCCAAACCGACACAGGUGGUCAGGUAGAGAAUACCAAGGCGCUUGAGAGAACUCGGGUGAAGGAACUAGGCAAAAUGGUGCCGUAACUUCGGGAGAAGGCACGCUGGUGUGUAGGUGAAGUCCCUGCGGAUGGAGCUGAGACCAGUCGAAGAUACCAGCUGGCUGCAACUGUUUAUUAAAAACACAGCACUGUGCAAACACGAAAGUGGACGUAUACGGUGUGACGCCUGCCCGGUGCCGGAAGGUUAAUUGAUGGGGUUAUCCGUAAGGAGAAGCUCUUGAUCGAAGCCCCGGUAAACGGCGGCCGUAACUAUAACGGUCCUAAGGUAGCGAAAUUCCUUGUCGGGUAAGUUCCGACCUGCACGAAUGGCGUAAUGAUGGCCAGGCUGUCUCCACCCGAGACUCAGUGAAAUUGAACUCGCUGUGAAGAUGCAGUGUACCCGCGGCAAGACGGAAAGACCCCGUGAACCUUUACUAUAGCUUGACACUGAACAUUGAGCCUUGAUGUGUAGGAUAGGUGGGAGGCUUUGAAGCGUGGACGCCAGUCUGCGUGGAGCCAACCUUGAAAUACCACCCUUUAAUGUUUGAUGUUCUAACGUUGGCCCCUGACCGGGGUUGCGGACAGUGUCUGGUGGGUAGUUUGACUGGGGCGGUCUCCUCCCAAAGCGUAACGGAGGAGCACGAAGGUUAGCUAAUCCUGGUCGGACAUCAGGAGGUUAGUGCAAUGGCAUAAGCUAGCUUGACUGCGAGCGUGACGGCGCGAGCAGGUGCGAAAGCAGGUCAUAGUGAUCCGGUGGUUCUGAAUGGAAGGGCCAUCGCUCAACGGAUAAAAGGUACUCCGGGGAUAACAGGCUGAUACCGCCCAAGAGUUCAUAUCGACGGCGGUGUUUGGCACCUCGAUGUCGGCUCAUCACAUCCUGGGGCUGAAGUAGGUCCCAAGGGUAUGGCUGUUCGCCAUUUAAAGUGGUACGCGAGCUGGGUUUAGAACGUCGUGAGACAGUUCGGUCCCUAUCUGCCGUGGGCGCUGGAGAAUUGAGGGGGGCUGCUCCUAGUACGAGAGGACCGGAGUGGACGCAUCACUGGUGUUCGGGUUGUCAUGCCAAUGGCACUGCCCGGUAGCUAAAUGCGGAAGAGAUAAGUGCUGAAAGCAUCUAAGCACGAAACUUGCCCCGAGAUGAGUUCUCCCUGAGACUUUAAGUCUCCUGAAGGAACGUU